UAGGGAAUAUUCCGCAAUGGGCGAAAGCCUGACGGAGCAACGCCGCGUGAGUGAAGAAGAUCUUCGGAUUGUAAAGCUCUGUCAACAGGGACGAUAAUGACGGUACCUGUGGAGGAAGCCACGGCAAACUACGUGCCAGCAGCCGCGGUAAUACGUAGGUGGCAAGCGUUGUCCGGAAUAACUGGGCGUAAAGCGCAUGUAGACGGCAUAGCAAGCCAAGUGUGACAUUUAGGGGCUUAACCUCUAAACUGCGCUUGGAACUGCUGAGCUUGAGUGCAGGAGAGGCAAGGGGAAUUCCCAGUGUAGCAGUGAAAUGCGUAGAUAUUGGGAGGAAAACCAGUGGCGAAGGCGACUUGCUGGACUGCAACUGACGUUGAGGAGCGAAAGCUAGGGGAGCAAACG
rnacentral:rRNA from 1 species